rnacentral:lncRNA from 10 species
AUCUGGGACUACGGGCGCCCGCCACCACGCCCGGUUAAUUUUUUUGUAUUUUUAGUAGAGACGGGGUUUCACUGUGUUUUUAGUAGAGACGGGGUUUCACUGUGUUAGCCAGGAUGGUCUCGAUCUCCUGACCUCGUGAUCCGCCCGCCUCGGCCUCCCAAAGUGCUGGGAUUACAGGCGUCAGCCACCGCGCCCGGCCUAUAAUUUUUUUUUUUAACUCCUUCACUGUUGUUGGCAGAAUUUAGUUUCUUCCUGUUACAAGGAUUGAGGUCGCCAUUUCCUUGCUGGUAGUCACCUGAGGACUGUUCCCAGAUUCUAGAGACUGCCUGCAUACCUUGGCUUAUCACCUUCCACUGCCUGCAUACCUUGGCUUAUGCCCUUUCUCCUGCAUCUUCCAAGCCAGCAAUGGUAGGACCAUUCGGUAUUCUUGAGAAACACUGGCUAAUCUUCUAGUCGACAAAGUCACACCCAAGGAAAGCACCAAACUUCUCUGAGGUCAAUAUUAUGUUGGAUUGUGCAGAGCCUGUUCCAUAAAGAUCUUUAUGUGCCCAACAAGCUGCAG